rnacentral:rRNA from 1 species
CCUACGGGUGACAGCAGUGAGGAAUAUUGGUCAAUGGACGCAAGUCUGAACCAGCCAUGCCGCGUGCAGGAAGACGGCUCUAUGAGUUGUAAACUGCUUUUGUACGAGGGUAAACGCAGAUACGUGUAUCUGGCUGAAAGUAUCGUACGAAUAAGGAUGGGCUAACACCGUGCCAGCAGCCGCGGUAAUACGGAGGAUUCAAGCGUUAUCCGGAUUUAUUGGGUUGAAAGGGUGCGUAGGCGGUCGGAUAAGUUAGAGGUGAAAUCCCGAGGCUCAACUUCGGAAUUGCCUCUGAUACUGUUCGGCUAGAGAGUAGUUGCGGUAGGCGGAAUGUAUGGUGUAGCGGUGAAAUGCUUAGAGAUCAUACAGAACACCGAUUGCGAAGGCAGCUUACCAAGCUACUUCUGACGUUGAGGCACGAAAGCGUGGGGAGCAAACAGGAUUAGAUACCCGUGUAGUC